rnacentral:rRNA from 1 species
AUUGAACGCUGGCGGCAUGCCUAACACAUGCAAGUCGAACGGGAACGAUGGAAGCUUGCUUCCAGGCGUCGAGUGGCGGACGGGUGAGUAAUGCUUAGGAAUCUGCCCAAUAGUGGGGGACAACCAGGAGAAAUUCUGGCUAAUACCGCAUACGCACUACGGUGGAAAGUGGGGGACCUUCGGGCCUCACGCUAUUGGAUGAGCCUAAGUCGGAUUAGCUUGUUGGUGGGGUAAUGGCUCACCAAGGCGACGAUCCGUAGCUGGUCUGAGAGGACGAUCAGCCACACUGGGACUGAGACACGGCCCAGACUCCUACGGGAGGCAGCAGUAGGGAAUAUUGGGCAAUGGGCGGAAGCCUGACCCAGCCAUGCCGCGUGGGGGAAGAAGGUGCAUAGCAUUGUAAACUCCUUUUCAGGGAGGAUAAGGCUGUAGUAACUCUACAGAUUGAAGGUACCCCUGGAAUAAGCACCGGCUAACUACGUG